GAGGGGGUAGACAUGCAGCAAAUGGUCGGGGCUGGGAGUCAAAGCAGCGACCACUGCGAUGAAGACUACAGCCUCUGUACACAGCCAAAAGACCACCAAAAGACUGUACUAAGGAAAUCUCCACAACCCAUGGAGCUAGCAAUGUCCUGUUGAGGACUGCUGCCCUCUUGCUGGUUGCACAUUACAGACUUCAGUCAAACAAGGUAAAAGCUGAAAUGCAGGUUAAGUGUCCCUCUGAUAUAACUACUCAGUACUAUACUGAGGUACAUCACAGCUCUAUCUCCAGGGGGCAGGUUCACAAUGAAGCAAGAGAUUGCUACUAAUUGUGUCAGGAGUUGGUAUGCUAUUCUCAUGCUCAAUUUUCUCUCUUAUUUUCUUCCGCUCAGUGAAGCCUUGGCACUGACUCCAGUCAUCAUAUUAGCUCACAGCAUGCCCACUGUGUAUAACUAGCCAUUAAGCCAGCUAUUUUCUGUGCCGUAUACUUUAAAAGGUUCUUACAAAUGAGACUCAAAAGCACAUACGAUUCCAACAGCACCCUUUCAUUUUCCAGCAGCAAACAUCUCUGACACUGAGGAAAUAACUGGUUGAUAUUCAUACUGGCACCCAUCUUUGUUAACCACGGUGCAUUAUUAAUGGGUGUUACAGUCUCUGGGUCUUGUGAUGUUUUCAGUGUGUAGGCCAAAAUAUUAGCAACUAAAAGGUUCUGCACAAUCCUUGGCCUAACACAGACACCAUGUUGUUGAUGUAAUGUUUUUUUAUUCAACUCCAAAUAAUUAUGGGCAUUGGGAAACAAAA